rnacentral:rRNA from 1 species
CGAUUCUUGGUCAUUUAGAGGAAGUAAAAGUCGUAACAAGGUUUCCGUAGGUGAACCUGCGGAAGGAUCAUUAAAGAAAAUAUUUGUUGGAGCGAGCUCAUCCUGGUUAGUUUCGGGGGGUGCUGCAGCUGCCUGCGCUUAAGUGCGCGGCGGAGGCGGUGCUUUUUCUGAAGCUAGCUAAUUCAAAGGGAGGAGUUUGUAUCUUUCAACUUUACACACAGUGGAGUAAUCUUACUUUAUUGUUCUUAUUUUCUUUGGGACAGCUCUUUUUGGGCGUCCCGGGAGAAGCAAACACAAACAAUUAUUUUAUAUUCUACUUUGUCAAAACCAAAUUCUCUGUUGAGAAAUAACUUCAAAACUUUCAACAAUGGAUCUCUUGGUUCUCGCAUCGAUGAAGAACGCAGCGAAAUGCGAUACGUAAUGUGAAUUGCAGAAUUCCGUGAAUCAUCGAAUCUUUGAACGCACAUUGCGCCCUCUGGUAUUCCGGGGGGCAUGCCUGUUUGAGCGUCAUUUCCUUCUCAAACGUCUCGUUUGGUGGUGAGUGAUACUCUGCUGGAGUUAGCUUGAAAUUGUUGGCCAUUUUAUGCGGACGUGCAUGGUGGGUUGUUUUUUUUCAUUGGAAGUUUUGCAAUGAGAAAGUCGUAUUAGGUUUUACCAACUUCGACGGUCUCUGUUGCAGGGCAUUUUAAAUUCUGGUGGAAGGGCUCUGCUGUGAAGUCAUGCUGGCAAACAGGAACCUUUAAGUUUGACCUCAAAUCABGUABGAUUACCCGCUGAACUUAAGCAUAUCAUAAGCGGAGGA